rnacentral:rRNA from 1 species
UACGGAGGGGGCUAGCGUUGUUCGGAUUUACUGGGCGUAAAGCGCACGUAGGCGGACUAUUAAGUCAGGGGUGAAAUCCCGGGGCUCAACCCCGGAACUGCCUUUGAUACUGGUAGUCUUGAGUUCGAGAGAGGUGAGUGGAAUUCCGAGUGUAGAGGUGAAAUUCGUAGAUAUUCGGAGGAACACCAGUGGCGAAGGCGGCUCACUGGCUCGAUACUGACGCUGAGGUGCGAAAGCGUGGGGAGCAAACAGG